rnacentral:lncRNA from 1 species
CCUCCGCUCCCACCCGACUCGCUCGCGUCUCCGCCGUCUCCCCGGUGUCCCCUCCCACCCCGCUCCGCCCCCCCCCCCCCGCCCCCCAGCCAGCCGCGUCCUCCCGGGCUCGGUGAGGAACUGUUCCCGGAGGAGCCGCGGGACGCCGAAAGCAGCCAAUGGGAAGAGGCGAGACGCCGAGAUUGGCACCGUGGAUGGGAAGCAAACUGGUAGCCUGGAGCUCUGCUCACAUGCAUCCCACCCGCGCCGGAGCAGCUUCCUACAAGCACCCCACUUCCUGACACUUGAGAGCCACGGAAUGGAAGGAGGCUCAGUUGCUUUAGAAGGCCCAGAAUAAAAGGCUCCUUCUGUGGAAAUCUAUCCAGGCCCUAAAGGAAUGGGGGAGGCUAGGCAAGUCAAGGCAUUGUCUACAGAAUGCUGAGCAAAACAUAGAUGUGAGGUGAUCAGCUGGAAAAAAGCAGAGACACAUUGGAAAGUCACACGAAGUGGACAUGGAAAAGGAAGGAAGAGCUAGAUUAAGGUAAGCAUUGGCAUCCAGGCCAAGACAUUUGAAUGUAAUUUGGAAAGUCAGUGUUGCCGAAGGCUGGUAAGGGUGUUAGUCAGAGAUCUCUGGAGAAACAGAACCGAUAGGAUAUGAAUACACACACACAUACACACAUACACACACAUACACAGAAAAAGAGACAGACAGAGGAGUAAUGGUGGGCAUUUGUUUUAAGGAGUCAGCUCUUGUGAAUAUAGAAGUUGGCAAGUUCAAAAUUUGCAGUGCAGGCCAUCAGGCUGGAAAUUCCAGCAGGAGCUGAUAUUGCAGUCUUAAAUCUUAAGGCAGUCCGGAGGCAGUCCUUCUUCAGAGGACCUCAGUCUUUUUCUUAAGUCCUUUACCAGAUUGGAGGAGGCUCACGCACAUUGUGAAGGGUCAGAUCAUCUGCUUUGCUCAAAGUUUGUGGAAUUAAAUUUAACAUCUAACAAUUUCAUAGAAAUUAUUGGUUAGGACAAAGUGGGUUUAUUUAGGUGAAACAGAGUUGAUUUAAAGAAAAUUAUUAAAUAAAUACUGGGUGCAGAUGGUAUAGGGAUAUGUCAA